CAGACACAGUGCUCUCUCUGGGUCCUCCUCCUGCAGCUUCCACAAGCUACUGGGCCACCACUCCCACCGCUGCCCCAGGGGUGUAAGAGAAAGCCACUGUGACAUCUCACCAAGGAGUGUCACCUCACAGAGAUUGACAUGCCCUGGAGUGGGAACCAGGCAGCAUGCCUGGCAACCUUGCUGGCCCCAAAACACAGCAUGUUCUUGUGAGGCACUGCGCUCCAGAGCAGACACGUUCCGUGGCAGCAUUGUCUUAGUGAUGGGGGACUCCUCUGUCCUCCUGACUGGUGGCCUGCUCCCAGAAGGAAGGAGGAGAAUAGAGGAGGAAAUUACUGCCUGAGCAGAGAACUCCAAGUCACUGCACAGUUGGAUAUGUUUGGUCUCUCCUUUAGAAAAAGUUCUCUUUCUUUAGAUGGCACAGAGCAAGCAAGAAAGGAACUCUUCUGGGGGCUCUUACCUAAGACAAGGGACUGAAAAGACACAAAGGUGUACAAGGAGAGGCUGGACUGUGCUCGAAUUUGUGAUCAUCCAGAUACAUGCAAACAUCUCAAGAAGAAAUCCAGAUUAUAAAUCCUGUGUAAACAUCUCACUUGCCAAUGUGGAGUCCCAGGAGCAUGCAUAUAUUGUUUUUAGUGUGACCGCACCGUGCAGCUGUAUGGAUCCUUCAGGGAUAGGAAGGAUGGGAAUUAUCUGACAUGUUUUCCAGAUACUUCAACAAGUUUGAAGUUCUUCAGACCUAAGAGCACCCAGUCUGUAAGUUAAUCAUUGAUAUGUCCUCAGCUGUUGGUGAAGACAAAGAUCUGUUGUAAAUUAAAGCACUUUUUGCCAUAAGUUUACGUGACUUUACUGCUAUCCAUACCCUCUCUCAUGUGAGUCCUCAUACUGAGCUUUGGAGUGUGCUUUUUGUGUAUGUUUGUAACUGACUCUUUCAUUCGACUUUCAUUAUAUCUGACAGGGAAAUAAAUGACCAUUUUAUCAAAGUCUGUGAAUUCA
rnacentral:lncRNA from 1 species